rnacentral:rRNA from 1 species
AACGAACGUUGGCGGCGUGGAUGAGGCAUGCAAGUCGAGCGAGAAAGCACCUUCGGGUGUGAGUAAAGCGGCGGACGGGUGAGUAACACGUAAUCAAGCUGCCCUCGAGACCGGGAUAACAGGGGGAAACCCUUGCUAAUACCGGAUGGUCUUCGGAGCUCGCAUGUUUUCCGGAGUAAAGGUGGGGAUCCUACGGGACCUUCCGUUCGAGGAGGCGAUUGCGGCCUAUCAGCUAGUUGGUGGGGUAACGGCCCACCAAGGCGACGACGGGUAGCAGGCCUGAGAGGGUGACCGGCCACACUGGGACUGAGACACUGCCCAGACUCCUACGGGAGGCUGCAGUCGAGAAUCGUUCGCAAUAGGCGAAAGCCUGACGACGCAACGCCGCGUGUGUGAAGAAGGCCUUCGGGUUGUAAAACACUUUGAGCAGGGAAGAAAGCUUGUCCGUUAAUAGCGGAUAAGUUUGACGGUACCUGCAGAACAAGCCCCGGCUAAAUUCGUG